UGAGAAGUUUUGAGAUUAAGUUAAAAGUGUAUUUGUGUAGUUUGGAACUAGAGUGCGCAGCGGGAGCAUAGUGGUGUAGAUUGAGCUAAGCGCUUGUUCUGAUAGUUGGAAAUUUCAAGGACAAAAUUUCUUUAAGUGGGUAGAAUUGUAACGCCCCAAAUUUGGGACUAGAAGUGUUAGGCCUUUAGUAUGGGUCCGUUAAGAGGUUGUAUAUAAGCAUUUAAUUGUACAAGUAAAUGACACAAUUAAAUGUCUGCUUUAG
rnacentral:lncRNA from 1 species